rnacentral:lncRNA from 1 species
CAAAAAUAUAAACCGACACAACUGUCACUUUCGGGCAUAUGAAAAAACCAUUAUAAACGCAAAAUUCAAUUCAAUUCAGAAUAAGAUUAUGAAGAAAUGAAGUGAAAAGUAAAAGGCAAAAUAUAACUCGAUACUGAAUUUAUAACAAACAGCUAAAGAAAAUGCAAAGCCUUCAAUAUAUAUUCUGAAUGAACAAGAAGUAUACAAAUCAAAAUUUCUAGCUCACUACCAAGUGCAGAUCUUCAGGUUAAACAUCAAAUCAGAAGAAUAAGAUCCGGCAAUCAACUAAAGACUACGGGCAAGCAAACGCUACUCCAAAAAAAUUAACAUAAAAAAAAAUAAUUAAAAAAAUUCAAGUUACAAUGACUUAAUCAUAAAUUCGCUAAGACAAUCUUUAAAAAUCAAACAUUUGCAUAAAUUAUCAAGAUUUUCACCUACAACCGAAUAUGAUGCUAGAUUGUUUCAGAAAGGAAAAACAGAGUAUAGGAAAUGAAAAAAGGGGGGUCAAAAUUCAACAAGAGGUCGUAUUCACAAAGGAAUGUACAAAUAGCAUAAUUCCAACUCGAAAAGCUUCCUUUUUCAUUUUUCCUUUCUGGUGAACUGCCAAAUCAAAUCUGUCUCGACAAAAAAGAUUAAAAAUAAUAUCUGACAGUCAAAUUAAAUGCACAUUAACUAUUUUACCAAGAUCUAGCAAUACUCCAUCACAUUUGACCCAAAAAAAAAAAAAAGAUCAAACCACAACCUACCACAAAGCCAAAUCAAUUAACGGAUCCAUUGGAAUCCAAUAAGAACGGACAUAUAACAUUCACCGUGGUCUCCGAUUCAGUUGAUGCAAGGCAGGAACCUAAUUUUCGCCAAAACAACAACAUCAAUUAUACGUAUACCGUACACAUUUGUAUAUAUACUGUUGGAAUCAUGCCAGACGACGUGGAAACCACGCCGUAAAGGCGAACAAAGUUCCCGACCUGCACCAAGCGAAUCUGAGACGACUGCAACAAAAAGAUAUACUGCAACAAAAAGAUAUGCUACAAUUAGAUCUGUGAGAGACUGUGUGCGCGUGAAAUUUUGAGAAGGGUUUGGCUGAUUUGGAAAAGCUAGUAGGGAUGGUUAUUUAUAGCUGGAUUAAAUCCACGAGAUGUUGCCACGUGUCGGUAUAAAAAAG